UUCCAGCUCCAAUAGCGUAUAUUAAAGUUGUUGCGGUUAAAAAGCUCGUAGUUGGAUUUCUGUCUCAGACUGACGGUCCACCGCUUGGUGGCGACUGUCAGGCCUGGACAUCCCGUCGGUUAUCAUUUCCCGCGAUGCUCUUCAGUGAGUGUCGCGGGAGGCCGGCAAGUUUACUUUGAAAAAAUUAGAGUGCUCAAGGCAGGCGGUCAGCCUGAAUAAUGGUGCAUGGAAUGAUGGAAUAGGACCUCGGUUCUAUUUUGUUGGUUUUCGCAACUCGAGGUAAUGAUUAAAAGGGACAGACGGGGGCAUUCGUAUUGCGACGCUAGAGGUGAAAUUCUUGGACCGUCGCAAGACGAACUACUGCGAAAGCAUUUGCCAAGAAUGUUUUCAUUAAUCAAGAACGAAAGUUAGAGGUUCGAAGGCGAUCAGAUACCGCCCUAGUUCUAACCAUAAACGAUGCGAACCAGCGAUCCGCCGGUGUUCCUCCUAUGACU
rnacentral:rRNA from 1 species